AAAUUGAAGAGUUUGAUCAUGGCUCAGAUUGAACGCUGGCGGCAGGCCUAACACAUGCAAGUCGAACGGUAACAGGAAGAAGCUUGCUUCUUUGCUGACGAGUGGCGGACGGGUGAGUAAUGUCUGGGAAACUGCCUGAUGGAGGGGGAUAACUACUGGAAACGGUAGCUAAUACCGCAUAACGUCGCAAGACCAAAGAGGGGGACCUUCGGGCCUCUUGCCAUCGGAUGUGCCCAGAUGGGAUUAGCUUGUUGGUGGGGUAACGGCUCACCAAGGCGACGAUCCCUAGCUGGUCUGAGAGGAUGACCAGCCACACUGGAACUGAGACACGGUCCAGACUCCUACGGGAGGCAGCAGUGGGGAAUAUUGCACAAUGGGCGCAAGCCUGAUGCAGCCAUGCCGCGUGUAUGAAGAAGGCCUUCGGGUUGUAAAGUACUUUCAGCGGGGAGGAAGGGAGUAAAGUUAAUACCUUUACUCAUUGACGUUACCCGCAGAAGAAGCACCGGCUAACUCCGUGCCAGCAGCCGCGGUAAUACGGAGGGUGCAAGCGUUAAUCGGAAUUACUGGGCGUAAAGCGCACGCAGGCGGUUUGUUAAGUCAGAUGUGAAAUCCCCGGGCUCAACCUGGGAACUGCAUCUGAUACUGGCAAGCUUGAGUCUCGUAGAGGGGGGUAGAAUUCCAGGUGUAGCGGUGAAAUGCGUAGAGAUCUGGAGGAAUACCGGUGGCGAAGGCGGCCCCCUGGACGAAGACUGACGCUCAGGUGCGAAAGCGUGGGGAGCAAACAGGAUUAGAUACCCUGGUAGUCCACGCCGUAAACGAUGUCGACUUGGAGGUUGUGCCCUUGAGGCGUGGCUUCCGGAGCUAACGCGUUAAGUCGACCGCCUGGGGAGUACGGCCGCAAGGUUAAAACUCAAAUGAAUUGACGGGGGCCCGCACAAGCGGUGGAGCAUGUGGUUUAAUCGAUGCAACGCGAAGAACCUUACCUGGUCUUGACAUCCACAGAACUUUCCAGAGAUGGAUUGGUGCCUUCGGGAACUGUGAGACAGGUGCUGCAUGGCUGUCGUCAGCUCGUGUUGUGAAAUGUUGGGUUAAGUCCCGCAACGAGCGCAACCCUUAUCCUUUGUUGCCAGCGGUCCGGCCGGGAACUCAAAGGAGACUGCCAGUGAUAAACUGGAGGAAGGUGGGGAUGACGUCAAGUCAUCAUGGCCCUUACGACCAGGGCUACACACGUGCUACAAUGGCGCAUACAAAGAGAAGCGACCUCGCGAGAGCAAGCGGACCUCAUAAAGUGCGUCGUAGUCCGGAUUGGAGUCUGCAACUCGACUCCAUGAAGUCGGAAUCGCUAGUAAUCGUGGAUCAGAAUGCCACGGUGAAUACGUUCCCGGGCCUUGUACACACCGCCCGUCACACCAUGGGAGUGGGUUGCAAAAGAAGUAGGUAGCUUAACCUUCGGGAGGGCGCUUACCACUUUGUGAUUCAUGACUGGGGUGAAGUCGUAACAAGGUAACCGUAGGGGAACCUGCGGUUGGAUCACCUCCUUA
rnacentral:rRNA from 1 species